rnacentral:rRNA from 1 species
GACGAACGCUGGCGGCGUGCCUAAUACAUGCAAGUAAAACGCUGAAGGAGGAGCUUGCUUCUCUGGAUGAGUUGCGAACGGGUGAGUAACGCGUAGGUAACCUGCCUGGUAGCGGGGGAUAACUAUUGGAAACGAUAGCUAAUACCGCAUAAGAGUAGAUGUUGCAUGACAUUUACUUAAAAGGUGCAAUUGCAUCACUACCAGAUGGACCUGCGUUGUAUUAGCUAGUUGGUGAGGUAACGGCUCACCAAGGCAACGAUACAUAGCCGACCUGAGAGGGUGAUCGGCCACACUGGGACUGAGACACGGCCCAGACUCCUACGGGAGGCAGCAGUAGGGAAUCUUCGGCAAUGGACGGAAGUCUGACCGAGCAACGCCGCGUGAGUGAAGAAGGUUUUCGGAUCGUAAAGCUCUGUUGUAAGAGAAGAACGAGUGUGAGAGUGGAAAGUUCACACUGUGACGGUAUCUUACCAGAAAGGGACGGCUAACUACGUG